GAACUGAAGAGUUUGAUCAUGGCUCAGAUUGAACGCUGGCGGCAGGCCUAACACAUGCAAGUCGAGCGGAUGAAUGGAGCUUGCUCCAUGAUUCAGCGGCGGACGGGUGAGUAAUGCCUAGGAAUCUGCCUGGUAGUGGGGGACAACGUUUCGAAAGGAACGCUAAUACCGCAUACGUCCUACGGGAGAAAGUGGGGGAUCUUCGGACCUCACGCUAUCAGAUGAGCCUAGGUCGGAUUAGCUAGUUGGCGAGGUAAAGGCUCACCAAGGCGACGAUCCGUAACUGGUCUGAGAGGAUGAUCAGUCACACUGGAACUGAGACACGGUCCAGACUCCUACGGGAGGCAGCAGUGGGGAAUAUUGGACAAUGGGCGAAAGCCUGAUCCAGCCAUGCCGCGUGUGUGAAGAAGGUCUUCGGAUUGUAAAGCACUUUAAGUU
rnacentral:rRNA from 1 species